rnacentral:rRNA from 1 species
CCAUGAAGCUGGAUUCGCUAGUAAUCGCGCAUCAGCCACGGCGCGGUGAAUACGUUCCCGGGCCUUGUACACACCGCCCGUCAAGCCAUGGAAGCCGGGAGUGCCUGAAGUACGCGACCGCAAGGAGCGUCCUAAGGUAAAACCGGUGACUGGGGCUAAGUCGUAACAAGGUACC